rnacentral:rRNA from 1 species
AGCUAGGCUUAACAUUGUUAAGUCGCCAGCUUCUUAGAGGGACUAUCGGUGUUUAACCGAUGGAAGUUUGAGGCAAUAACAGGUCUGUGAUGCCCUUAGUUGUUCUGGGCCGCACGCGCGCUACACUGAUGAAGUCAUCGAGUUCAUUUCCUUUAUCGGAAGAUAUGGGUAAUCCUUUGAAACUUCAUCGUGCUGGGGAUAGAGCUUUGCGAUUAUUGCUCUUGAACGAGGAAUCCCUAGUAAGCACAAGUCAUCAGCUUGUGCUGAUUACGUCCCUGCCCUUUGUACACACCGCCCGUCGCUACUACCGAUUGAAUGGCUUAGUGAGGC